rnacentral:rRNA from 1 species
UGGUUAGUGGCAGACGGGUGAGUAAUGCGUAGGAAUCUACCUAGUAGUACGGAAUAGCCAUUAGAAAUGGUGGGUAAUACUGUAUAAUCCCCGAGGGGGAAAGAUUUAUCGCUAUUAGAUGAGCCUACGUUAGAUUAGCUAGUUGGUGAGGUAAUGGCUUACCAAGGCUAUGAUCUAUAGCUGGUCUGAGAGGACGAUCAGCCACACUGGAACUGAGAUACGGUCCAGACUCCUACGGGAGGCAGCAGUGGGGAAUAUUGGACAAUGGGCGAAAGCCUGAUCCAGCUAUGCCGCGUGAGUGAAGAAGGCCUUCGGGUUGUAAAACUCUUUCAAUAGGGAAGAUAAUGACGGUACCUAUAAAU